UACAGAGGUCUCAAGCGUUGUUCGGAUUCAUUGGGCGUAAAGGGUGCGUAGGCGGCGCGGUAAGUCGGGUGUGAAAUCUCGGAGCUUAACUCCGAAACUGCAUUCGAUACUGCCGUGCUUGAGGACUGGAGAGGAGACUGGAAUUUACGGUGUAGCGGUGAAAUGCGCAGAUAUCGGGAGGAACACCGGUGGCGAAGGCGGUUCUCUGGGCCUGACCUGACGCUGAGGAGCGAAAGCAUGGGGAGCGAACAGG
rnacentral:rRNA from 1 species